rnacentral:rRNA from 1 species
GACGAACGCUGGCGGCGUGCUUAACACAUGCAAGUCGAACGCUGAAGCUCAGCUUUUGUUGGGUGGAUGAGUGGCGAACGGGUGAGUAACACGUGAGUAACCUGCCCCCUUCUUUGGGAUAACGCCCGGAAACGGGUGCUAAUACUGGAUAUUCACUGGUCUUCGCAUGGGGGUUGGUGGAAAGGGUUUUUCUGGUGGGGGAUGGGCUCGCGGCCUAUCAGCUUGUUGGUGGGGUGAUGGCCUACCAAGGCUUUGACGGGUAGCCGGCCUGAGAGGGUGACCGGGCACAUUGGGACUGAGAUACGGCCCAGAAUCCUACGGGAGGCAGCAGUGGGGAAUAUUGUACAAUGGGCGCAAGCCUGAUGCAGCGACGCCGCGUGAGGGAUGGAGGCCUUCGGGUUGUGAACCUCUUUCGCUCAUGGUCAAGCCGCAACAAUGGUUGUGGUGAGGGUAGUGGGUAAAGAAGCGCCGGCUAACUACGUG